UACAUUUCGUAGUCUCACACAAAGUCAUCUGCUGCAAUGAAGGUCCAGCUCUAAAGAAUCAUUUCAUUGUCCUGCCCUCUUAUAAGGGUAAACAGUCGAUAUGGUGGAGAAAGGGCUCAGACUGAGAAAGCGGCAAUAAGCAGACACUGUCUGCUCCUCCAAGAACCAGAUUUUUUUAAAUUUCUGGUCAAAACUGGGGACUCAUGGAAUACAGUCACCUCAAAUGUAAAUCUUGGACUUUAGGGGGUAUAAAAAGCACCUUCCGAUGAGACAGCAGCUUCCCUGAGAUUAAUACA
rnacentral:lncRNA from 1 species